GUGCUCAUUUUGGCAGCACAUAUACUAAAACUUGAAUGAUACAAAGAAGAUUAGCAUGUUUAAGGAUGGCACUGCAAAUUUGUGAAGCCUUCCAUAUUUUU
ensembl:snRNA U6 U6 spliceosomal RNA